UAUAUUAUAUUUUAAUAAAAAUAUUAAAUUGCAAGUUUAAAGAUAUUAAUAUUAGGUUAAUUAAUAUAU
rnacentral:tRNA from 1 species